GCCCGCCUAGCUCAAUCGGAUAGAGCGUCAGACUCUUAAAUACUAGGCAAUCUGAAGGCUGCGAGUUCGACCCUCGCGGUGGGCU
rfam:Pisolithus microcarpus 441 unplaced genomic scaffold scaffold_17, whole genome shotgun sequence.